GAUGAACGCUGGCGGCAUGCCUUACACAUGCAAGUCGAACGGCAGCACGGGUGCUUGCACCUGGUGGCGAGUGGCGAACGGGUGAGUAAUAUAUCGGAACGUACCUUAUCGCGGGGGAUAACGCAGCGAAAGCUGUGCUAAUACCGCAUAAGCCCUAAGGGGGAAAGAAGGGGACCGUAAGGCCUUGCGCGAUUAGAGCGGCCGAUACCUGAUUAGCUAGUUGGAGAGGUAAAGGCUCACCAAGGCAACGAUCAGUAGCUGGUCUGAGAGGAAGAUCAGCCAGACUUGGAUUGAGAAAUAGGCCAGGCACAUACGAGAGGCAGCAGUGGGGAAUUUUGGACAAUGGGGGCAACCAUGAUCCAGCAAUGCCGCGUGAGUGAAGUAGGCCUUCGGGUUGUAAAGCUCUUUUGUCAGGGAAGAAACCGCAGCUCUGAUACAGUAUGCGAAUGACGGUACCUGAAGAAUAAGCACCGGCUAACUACGUGCCAGCAGCCGCCGCGG
rnacentral:rRNA from 1 species